AGAUUAUAUUGAGAAGCUUGGGGAACUCCGGCGAACUCGACGAUCUCCGGCAAAUUCUGCGAUCUCGGUGAACUCGGCGAUCUCCGGCAAAUUCUGCGAUCUCGGUGAACUCGGCGAUCUCUCGGCGAAUUUGGCAAUCUUCGACAAACUCGACGCAACUCCGAGCAGGACUGAGCGAUAGUCAUGGAGAUUAGUAAGUUCUCUCAGUUUAGUUCUUUUGAAUCUAUACCUGAACAGAGAAGCGGAGGAGGAGAGCGAGAGCAGAAAUCAAAGACAUGAAGAGGGUCCAAAAGGAACUCGAAGAACAGCUUUAUAUGGGCAAUCGUCGGUUAGAGUUGGUCGAGAAAGAGAGAGACGAAGCUAUUAAAAAAAUUGAAGAGCUUUUGAUAGAUCUAUACCUGGAGAAGGGUGAGUCAUCAUCACAUUCGCCUUCAUCCUUGUCGCAGUGGUCUGUUUCCAACGAGCCUCCCCCAUAUUUCAUCUGUCCCAUUUCAAAGGUCAGGACUCGAACCUCCACUUAGUAGGCAGAUGUUUUUUGUUGGAUCUUGACUUGGCUUCAAACUGCUCAAUAACUCCAACAAAAAAGUAAGCUCCUUUUCAAAAUUUUAAAACCCAAUCUAGGGUUUCUCUCAAUGGAUGUGGAUGUGGCGAUGGUGUUAGAGGUGUGAUUGGAGAUCUGGUUUUGAAUUGUAAAGACCAGAGUUUAGGAUUCAGAGCUCCUAAGAUCUCUCUAUCUCCGAGAAGGUGUCUCUUGGCAAAAGAAAGGUUACAACUUUGUUUAGGUUCUUGAAAGGAUGUGGUUUUUUUUUUCUUUUGUGGGCUUUUGAUCAUGUUUUUGGUGGAAAAAAAAUUCUGCUGAUGGAAGAAGCAAAACAGUUUUUGGUAUCUCACUUGUCACGACCAAGCAAUAGUGUUGCAUCUCCAGGUCUUUGAAAGAAUGUUUCUGUGGCUAAUAAGUGUAUUAGUAGUGAAGUUACUACUGUUAAUCCAGCUGUGAGCCAUUUCAGGCCUAAGAUGGUGCUCAAUGGUGCUGCUUCUCAGGGCACUGGUGUUCCAGCAAAUUCUUUUGGAAAUUGCAGCUGUGAAAAUGAACUCCUAGGAGAAGAUCGAGUCUGAUCUGAGCAUCUAUAUACAAAAAAUUCUCAAGCACAAUCCUGCUGAGAGAAUUGCAGCAAAAACAGCACUCGGUCACCCUUACUUUGACAGCCUUGACAAGUCCCAGCUCUGAAGUUUCCCUUCAAUUCAAGAAUACUACUUUAUUUUUGAGUUGAGAAGUUUAAUUGUUGUGUCUUGUUGUCAUCGUCUCGGUGAAACAUCAACAUUUGAUUUCUGUUGCUUUCCAGACACAUCAGUGUCCCAUGAUUGGAUUGGUCUUUUCUAUAUUGAGUGUAAAAAAUGUUAAGAUUUUCAUAAGAUUUCUUCUUUAUUUUGUAAUCAUACAAAACUUGUUUCCCUACU